ACGCACACGGAGCCGCCUCACUGGCCUGCCAGUUGCCGUGGUAACUUGACAUGUCUCCAUUUGCUGUGAUCAAUGGAAAUGUUGCCGUCUCAUGGGGAUUGGAGGGCUGCCAGCUCUCGGAGUGCAGCGUAACUCUCUCUCCCUCGCGCUCCGAGACGGGGAAGACACAAAGGAAGGAAUGGAGGCAGAGGGAAGCGGUGGGGUGGAGGAGCACGAAGCAUCCAUUACGGACAACCAUCUACAGAGAUCCAGGAGCAGCUCAGAGCACCGUGAAGAGAGAGCUGACGCACACAGACUUCAACCUGCACAUGUACAUUAUAACAGAUUGGAAUUCUUCACUGACCAGGCUCUCCACCUUGACGACACUCACAUAACAUGCAUCAAGUUCAUUUAGAGGAGAACCUCUGGGAAACGGCAUGACAAGGAGACCUCUAACUAUUACAGAUAAAUC